GGGACGAACGCUGGCGGCGUGCUUAACACAUGCAAGUCGAGCGGUAAGGCCUCCUUCGGGGGGUACACGAGCGGCGAACGGGUGAGUAACACGUGGGUGACCUGCCCUCAGCUCUGGGAUAGGCCUGGGAAACCGGGUCUAAUACCGGAUGGGACUGCUUGCCGCAUGGUGGGUGGUGGAAAGUUUUUUCGGCUGGGGAUGGGCCCGCGGCCUAUCAGCUUGUUGGUGGGGUGAUGGCCUACCAAGGCGGUGACGGGUA
rnacentral:rRNA from 1 species